CGGAAUAGCUCAGUUGGUAGAGCAGCACAUUCGUAAUGUGACGGUCGGGGGUUCGACUCCUCUUUCCGG
rnacentral:tRNA from 1 species